UCCCUAAAACAUCUAGGUGGCGGCUUGAAAAAGGGUAGUGGAGGCAGACUUUAAGAGUUGCAAUUAUUUUUCCUUUUUCCCUUUACAGUGGUGAUUUUGGCCUCAGAGUACGAUCCAGGCUCCAGUUCUACAUCCCGUGGCUGAUACGCGAGGGUGAUCUUUCAGUAAUUCCGGGUGAGCUACUUGGUCAUCCGUGGCCCUUGAAGGACCUCCUCUAUUUAUUUCUGUUUUUGUAUUCGACAGACAAUAUGUAGCCUUCGGGUAUUUUCAGACUUAAAUUCCGUACUAUGUUAGCGCUCUUGUACCCUUUAACCAGAUUUUGGGGUUGUCGUGACAUUUCUAGUUAUGAUAAGUAUUUAAGACUUGAUAA